GCCUACGGGGCGCAGCAGUGGGGAAUAUUGCACAAUGGGGGGAACCCUGAUGCAGCGACGCCGCGUGGGUGAAGGAGUACUUCGGUACGUAAAGCCCUAUCAGCAGGAAAGAAAAUGACGGUACCUGACUAAGAAGCCCCGGCUAACUACGUGCCAGCAGCCGCGGUAAUACGUAGGGGGCGAGCGUUAUCCGGAUUUACUGGGUGUAAAGGGAGCGUAGACGGUUCUGCAAGUCUGAAGUGAAAGCCCGUGGCUUAACCGCGGAACGGCUUUGGAAACUGUGGAACUGGAGUGCUGGAGAGGCA
rnacentral:rRNA from 1 species